rnacentral:rRNA from 1 species
UGCGGAAGGAUCAUUACCGAGUGCGGGCCCCUCGGGGCCCACCUCUCCACCCGUGUUGCCCGAACCUAUGUUGCCUCGGCGGGCCCCGCGCCCGCCGACGGCCCCCCUGAACGCUGUCUGAAGUUGCAGUCUGAGACCUAUAACGAAAUUAGUUAAAACUUUCAACAACGGAUCUCUUGGUUCCGGCAUCGAUGAAGAACGCAGCGAAAUGCGAUAACUAAUGUGAAUUGCAGAAUUCAGUGAAUCAUCGAGUCUUUGAACGCACAUUGCGCCCUCUGGUAUUCCGGAGGGCAUGCCUGUCCGAGCGUCAUUGCUGCCCUCAAGCCCGGCUUGUGUGUUGGGCCCCGUCCCCCCCGCCGGGGGGACGGGCCCGAAAGGCAGCGGCGGCACCGCGUCCGGUCCUCGAGCGUAUGGGGCUUCGUCACCCGCUCUAGUAGGCCCGGCCGGCGCCAGCCGACCCCCAACCUUUAAUUAUCUCAGGUUGACCUCGGAUCAGGUAGGGAUACCCGCUGAACUUAAGCAUAUCAU